rnacentral:rRNA from 1 species
UACAGAGGGGGCAAGCGUUGUUCGGAAUUACUGGGCGUAAAGGGCGCGUAGGCGGCCAUCUAAGUCAGACGUGAAAUCCCCCGGCUUAACCUGGGAACUGCGUCUGAUACUGGACGGCUCGAGUUUGGGAGAGGGAUGUGGAAUUCCAGGUGUAGCGGUGAAAUGCGUAGAUAUCUGGAGGAACACCGGUGGCGAAGGCGGCAUCCUGGACCAACACUGACGCUGAGGCGCGAAAGCUAGGGGAGCAAACGGG